UACGUAGGGGGGCUAGCGUUGUCCGGAAUCAUUGGGCGUAAAGAGCGUGUAGGCGGUCCGGUAAGUCCGCUGUGAAAGUCGGGGGGCUCAACCCUCGAAUGCCGGUGGAUACUGUCGGGCUAGAGUGCGGAAGAGGCGAGUGGGAAUUCCUGGUGUAGCGGUGAAAUGACGCAGAUAUCAGGAGGAACACCUAUUGCGAAGGCAGCUCGCUGGGACGUUACUGACACUGAGGCGCGAAAGCGUGGGGGAGCGAACAGG
rnacentral:rRNA from 1 species